rnacentral:rRNA from 1 species
GCUAACGGGGGGCGGGCAGACGGGGUAAUAGGAGGGGUGCAAGUGGUAGUCGGAAUUAUGGGGCGUACAGGGCGCGUAGACGGAAGGCUAAGUCAACGGUUAAAGUCCCCGGCCUAACUGGGGACCAGCAGUAGGUACUGGCAAGCGAGAGGAUGGAAGAGAGAAGUGGAAUUCUCGGAGUAGCGGUAAAAUGCGUAGAUCUCGAGAGGAACACCGAUGGCGAAGGCAGCUUCUUGGUCCAUUUCUGACGUUGAGGCGCGAAAGCGUGGGGAGCAAACAGGAUUAGAUACCCUGGUAGUC